AAGCUGUGGUUGUCAUGGCAACCGGGAUGGUGGUAUCCAUCUAGGCUUGAUCAGAAAGCACCCAAUCUGCUUGCUUUUCUUACUGGUGCACCAGGGGAGCAUCCGCACGUCCAAAGACCCGAUGCCUUCGGAUACAGGAUUCCUAGACUGAACCUGACCAAACACACCUGCAAUCUUGGCCUGACUCUGUGUGAGCCUGACUAUUUGUGAUACUACCUGUCCCUGACUUCACUGACCUCAUCUAUAAAAUGUCCCAUAAAAGCUCUCUAUACUUCGUAUACAUCUGCGUGGGAGGACAGUCUGACCUUUAUUCUGUGCCCCCUCCAGUCCUGUGGCACCUGAAGCUUUCAACAGUACCUAUUUAGUGUUUUAAUAGCCACAGCUAGUAAACACAUGAGAUUAAAAAAAAAAAUCACAGCAAAAAUCUUCUACAAACGUCCUAGGGAGAUAUUUUGUAGAAUUGAACGUUGAAGUUGGGAAGUCAAGUCAUCUUCAUAAGACUACCUACUUAGUCAAAAUGGCCAGGCUGAGACUUGAAGCCAGGUCAAGCUAGCUCCAAAGAAAGUAGCUUUGGAAGCCUCACACGGGGCUGCUGGGCUGUUCAUUUCUUCGCAGGACACUGCUGUGGAAAAGGGGCAGGCUGAUCCUGAGGAGGACUCAGCUUUGCGCAGACACAUGAGUGGAAAUUGUAGGAGCUGAAGAAAUAUCUACACACAAAGUCCAUGUGUUUCUGUGUAGUAGGUGUCCAGGAAGAUGUGGGGGAAUGCUAUGAACAUGCAUAUGUAUAUAUUGAUAUUUUUCUAGAGAGAGGAAAAAAAUCUUUAGGUGAGUGCAAGUGUAGCUUGCCACCCUGGGGACUUAAAUUAGUCUUGUCCUUCGUUUUGUCUUGUCCCAUAGGUGGGACUUAGCCUAGAGAGACACCUGAGAAGGUUAAGGAAGGUGUCCCAAGGACAAUGAGUCAGGCAAUGAGUGGGCUUAGAGAACACAGAAAGAUGACCGAUUGCCUCCAGCCCAGGAAAGCACUACUGACACCUUAGAAAGUAACGACUUUGGGGUACUCAGGUCAUAGGCAGGACCACAGCUAAAAGCAGCCUCAGCAGGGAGGAGCAUGCAAAGAACAGAGUGAUCUGGAGGAUCAUGGGAAGAGCAGAGGGAAGUGGAGGAUCGUGGGAAGAGCAGAAGGAAGUAGAGAAUCGUGGGAAGAGCAGAGGGAACUGAAAACGGAAGGAAGGACAGGCAGCUAAAGUAUCUUUCUGAAGCUUGAAUGAGACUGUAUCACUCCCUGGAGAUUAAGGCCUGUCCUGAGACUCCCAGUGGCUCGUCUUCGCCUCAGCACGAAGCCCACAGUCAACAGCAUGCUCCUUGGAGUUCUUCACAAUCUGCUGUCUUUCCCAGCCUCAUCUCUUGUCUGUCUCCUGUUACUCUACAGCUGCUCCACUUAGUCUGCUACCCACUAGCUAUAUGUGGCUAUUUAACUUUAUUUUAAUUAAGUGAAAUCUAAUAGUUUAAUAAAUAAAAGCAAGACAUUA